GCACCGGUGGUGUAGUUGGUUAUCACGUCAGUCUAACACAACCCAGUUUCUCGUGUUUGAGUGAAUGGUUGUGGUGUUGAGCACUGAAGGUCCUGAGUUCAAGUCUCGGCCGGUGUA